ACGCUGGCGGCAGGCCUAACACAUGCAAGUCGAGCGGUAACAGGAAUUAGCUUGCUAAUUUGCUGACGAGCGGCGGACGGGUGAGUAAUCCCUGGGAAUAUGCCUUAGUGUGGGGGAUAACUAUUGGAAACGAUAGCUAAUACCGCAUAACGUCUUCGGACCAAAGAGGGGGACCUUCGGGCCUCUCGCGCUAAGAUUAGCCCAGGUGGGAUUAGCUAGUUGGUGAGGUAAAGGCUCACCAAGGCAACGAUCCCUAGCUGGUCUGAGAGGAUGAUCAGCCACACUGGAACUGAGACACGGUCCAGACUCCUACGGGAGGCAGCAGUGGGGAAUAUUGCACAAUGGGGGAAACCCUGAUGCAGCCAUGCCGCGUGUAUGAAGAAGGCCUUCGGGUUGUAAAGUACUUUCAGUCGUGAGGAAGGGUAUGUAGUUAAUAGCUGCRUGCCUUGACGUUAGCGACAGAAGAAGCACCGGCUAACUCCGUGCCAGCAGCCGCGGUAAUACGGAGGGUGCGAGCGUUAAUCGGAAUUACUGGGCGUAAAGCGCAUGCAGGCGGUCUGUUAAGCAAGAUGUGAAAGCCCGGGGCUCAACCUCGGAACCGCAUUUUGAACUGGCAGACUAGAGUCUUGUAGAGGGGGGUAGAAUUUCAGGUGUAGCGGUGAAAUGCGUAGAGAUCUGAAGGAAUACCGGUGGCGAAGGCGGCCCCCUGGACA
rnacentral:rRNA from 1 species